CUGCUGGCCCCGCUCGUCGGUAGAACUAGCUGCUCGGCCGGUGCAUGUUUACCUGGCUUAUGCACCAGCGUCUCUUCUAUUGCGAUGACAGGUGGGCCGGUCCUGCUGCUGGUCCCACUCGUCAGCUGCACGGACUGCGUCAUGUUGGUUGGUUGUGCGGACUGCGCCGGGUUGGCUGGGGCAUGUUCGCGUGGACCCCAGGCUGACCGAUGCAUCGUGUGCGCGUCCUGCGUGCCUCACCUCCGUCUGCGGUUGGAGAGAGGAGAUGGACUGGCAAAAUAUCUCGCGAGCCCACUUCCCGCAUCUCCAUCGACCUAGCCGCCUCCACGCUCGUGAUCCUCCCGUGUCAAUCGCGCCCAAACCUCCUCAUCUCGGAUCCCGCGGGACCGAGGUGCGGGCAUGGAGGCGAGCUUCCCUGGCGGCCAUGGCGACCUGCAGGCAAAGGGUGACGGCGGCGGCGGCGCUCGAUUAGAUCUGCGGGAGAGAGAGGAUGAGAGGGAGAGAUAAGGAAGAAGAUGAGAGGGAGAGAAAGAGAGAGUAAAGGGGAGAGGGAGGGCUUCUACAUCACCGCUCUCUAGAUGCACGCCAUCCACCCGCGCACGCUCGCCGCCAACCUCGUUGGUUUUGCCAGGUUCGGCUGCCUCAAGGACCUCCCCGAGAUCCUCUAUUGUUUCCUCCACGGCCCCCGUGAUGAGCGCAAGGACUGGGACGACGUUGCCGCGGCGGCGGCGGGGUCAAGAGCGGCAAGCGGCGCUGCGUCGGCGGCCUUGCCGCCGCCGCGGCUGAGGCCGCCAAGGCCCGGCGCGAGAAGGAGGCGGAGCACGCGCAGGCCGUGCUCGGGCGCUACGACUCUGACGAGGCCUUCCGCAACCUCUACAACGGCGUCGCUGACCUCUUCGCCGGGCUGCUCAAGUCGGACCAGGAGCACCUGCACGCGGGCGGCACGGCCAAGAUCGUGUUCGCCGCCAAGUGGUGGCCGUCGUUGCGCUUGUCGUACGACCGCGCGACGCUGCUCUGCGAGGCCAUCGCGUGCCGGGUAUUCCCGCGCGACUUGAGCCCCGAGUACCUCGCUAUCCCCGACAAGCACUAUGCCUACCGCGUCCGCAACCGGCUCCGCUGCGAGGUGCAGGUAACGCUCCGCAAGGUGCUCGAGCUCCCCGAGGUCUACAUGAGCGCCUGCAAGUGGGACGAGCUUCCCUGCGCGCGCGCUUGGCGACCACAGCCAUGGGCCAGUACAAGAGGCGUCCUGGCUGUACUUCUUUCUUCUGGUCCCUGGACAUUGUCAUAAUGGUCACCUUAUCGCAGUGUAUUAUUUUUGGAUCUCAUAUUCCUCAAGGCGCUCCAUCUUCGGAUUCGAUGUCGGACGAUCUGAGAAAUAAGAGGAGGAAUAAUCCAGCAGAAGAAUUCGGUGACGAAGAACAAGAAAAGAAUACCUUUAUCCUGAUAGGCAUGGAAACACCGGUUCGCAUUGAGUGCAUCAUCGCUAAUCAGCUACUAUUAGAGAGCAAGGGACAUAUAAGAAAUCUCCAGGCAGCUUCACUUAGAUGCAUCAUCUUCUGCUAGGAGUCAGCUUGAAGAACGGCCUUCUCAAGUUAAUUCUUGGGUCAGUGUUUCGGCUUUUCUCCAUUGGUUCAUAAAAACCAUAUGGAGACUGCAACUGACAUGCUGUAUGGCGAAUAACCAAAUUUGUGGACAAAGACAAAGAGUUCAUCGCAAGGGGUGGUGUUUAGGAUAUAUACACAAAAGAGGAAACUUUUUUUGUACAAAACCAAAUUAUAUGAUGUAAUUGACCACUAUUUCUAAGAAAUGUUCAUCAUGUAUUCAGUACAUUUUAUUGUCACUUUUUUUGAAGGGUAGCUUUAUUCAUCAAACAUCACAAAGUGUGUGAUAGAGUUCAUCAAACCAGGCUUUAUUGUGUCA